rnacentral:rRNA from 1 species
UGGGGAAUUUUCCGCAAUGGGGGCAACCCUGACGGAGCAACGCCGCGUGCGGGAGGAAGGCCUUUGGGUUGUAAACCGCUUUUCUCAGGGAAGAAGCUCUGACGGUACCUGAGGAAUCAGCCUCGGCUAACUCCGUGCCAGCAGCCGCGGUAAUACGGAGGAUGCAAGCGUUAUCCGGAAUUAUUGGGCGUAAAGCGUCCGUAGGCGGUUUAUCAAGUCUGCCGUUAAAGACCACAGCUCAACUGUGGGACGGCGGUGGAAACUGAGGAACUGGAGUACGGUAGGGGUAGAGGGAAUUCCCAGUGUAGCGGUGAAAUGCGUAGAUAUUGGGAAGAACACCAGUGGCGAAGGCGCUCUACUGGGCCGUAACUGACGCUGAGGGACGAAAGCUAGGGGAGCGAAAGGGAUUAGAUACCCCGGUAGUCC